rnacentral:rRNA from 1 species
AUUGAACGCUGGCGGCAUGCCUUCACAUGCAAGUCGAACGGUAACAGGUCUUCGGAUGCUGACGAGUGGCGAACGGGUGAGUAAUACAUCGGAACGUGCCUAGUAGUGGGGGGUAACUACUCGAAAGAGUGGCUAAUACCGCAUGAGAUCUACGGAUGAAAGCAGGGGAUCGCAAGACCUUGUGCUACUAGAGCGGCCGAUGGCAGAUUAGGUAGUUGGUGGGAUAAAAGCUUACCAAGCCGACGAUCUGUAGCUGGUCUGAGAGGACGAUCAGCCACACUGGGACUGAGACACGGCCCAGACUCCUACGGGAGGCAGCAGUGGGAAUUUUGGACAAUGGGCGCAAGCCUGAUCCAGCAAUGCCGCGUGCAGGAUGAAGGCCUUCGGGUUGUAAACUGCUUUUGUACGGAACGAAAAGCCCUGGGUUAAUACCCUGGGGUCAUGACGGUACCGUAAGAAUAAGCACCGGCUAACUACGUGCCAGCCGCCGCGGUAAGAC